rnacentral:rRNA from 1 species
UACGUAGGGGGCAAGCGUUGUCCGGAAUCAUUGGGCGUAAAGCGCGUGUAGGCGGUUCGGUAAGUCUGCUGUGAAAGUCCAGGGCUCAACCCUGGGAUGCCGGUGGGUACUGUCGGACUAGAGUACGGAAGAGGCGAGUGGAAUUCCCGGUGUAGCGGUGAAAUGCGCAGAUAUCGGGAGGAACACCAAUUGCGAAGGCAGCUCGCUGGGACGUUACUGACGCUGAGACGCGAAACGUGGGGAG